GACGAACGCUGGCGGCGUGCCUAAUACAUGCAAGUUGAGCGAUGAAGAUUGGUGCUUGCACCAAUUUGAAGAGCAGCGAACGGGUGAGUAACGCGUGGGGAAUCUGCCUUUGAGCGGGGGACAACAUUUGGAAACGAAUGCUAAUACCGCAUAACAACUUUAAACAUAAGUUUUAAGUUUGAAAGAUGCAAUUGCAUCACUCAAAGAUGAUCCCGCGUUGUAUUAGCUAGUUGGUGAGGUAAAGGCUCACCAAGGCGAUGAUACAUAGCCGACCUGAGAGGGUGAUCGGCCCCAUUGGGACUGAGACACGGCCCAAACUCCUAAGGGAGGCAGCAGUAGGGAAUCUUCGGCAAUGGACGAAAGUCUGACCGAGCAACGCCGCGUGAGUGAAGAAGGUUUUCGGAUCGUAAAACUCUGUUGGUAGAGAAGAACGUUGGUGAGAGUGGAAAGCUCAUAAAGUGACGGUAACUACCCAGAAAGGGACGGCUAACUACGUG
rnacentral:rRNA from 1 species